rnacentral:rRNA from 1 species
UACGUAGGGUGCAAGCGUUGUCCGGAAUUAUUGGGCGUAAAGAGCUCGUAGGCGGUUUGUUGCGUCGGCUGUGAAAACCUGAGGCUCAACCUCAGGCCUGCAGUCGAUACGAGCAGACUAGAGUGUUGCAGGGGAGACUGGAAUUCCUGGUGUAGCGGUGAAAUGCGCAGAUAUCAGGAGGGACACCGGUGGCGAAGGCGGAUCUCUGGGCCAUUACUGACGCUGAGGAGCGAAAGCGUGGGGAGCGAACAGG